rnacentral:rRNA from 1 species
AUGGAUAUAAACCCAUCCAUCACAUGUUGGAAUGUGCGAGGCCUCAACAACCCAGCGAAGCGGAAGGCAGUUAGAGAGUUUAUCUCCUCGGUGAAGUGCAACAUGGUGUGUUUUCAGGAGACUAAGUUGGAUGUUGUAGACCAUUAUAUGAUUAUGCAAUGUAUUGGGCCAUCUUAUGAUGGUUUUGCUUAUCUGUAGGCGAUUAAUAUGUGUGGAGGAAUUGUGUUGGCGUGGGACUCCAUGGCGCUCGAGGUGGACACGAUCCUCACGGACACGCACUCCAUAACCGGACUCGUGCACAACAAGGACGGCUUUAAAUGGUGGAUCACGGUAGUUUAUGGCCCUCAAGGAGAUGAGCAAAAGUUGGCGUUCUUGCAUGAACUACGUGAGCGCAGGGCAGGGUGCAUUGGACCGUGGAUGCUUUUGGGAGAUUUUAACAUGAUCCUCAGGGCAUCGGAGAAGAAUAAUGCCAACAUUAACCGGAGGAUGCUAAAUAGCUUCAGAGCAUUUGUGGAUGAUCUGGAAAUGAAGGAACUAUAUAUGCAUGGGCGACGUUUCACUUGGACGAAUGAUAGAGACUGCCCGACCCUAACCAAGAUAGACCGCGUGCUCGUGUCAGUGGAUUGGGACUUGGCGAACCCAGAUUGUUUCUUGCAAGCCGUGGGGACUAAUGUUUCUGAUCAUGCACCGCUGCUCCUCACAACAAAUGCGUGUUGGGGAACGUAG